GUUACGGUGGCAGAGCCCGGCAAUUGCAAAAGGCCUAAGCCCUUUCAACAGGGGUUCAAAUCCCCUCCGAAACU
rnacentral:tRNA from 1 species